GACCCCUUCGUCUAGAGGCCUAGGACACCGGGUUUUCAUCCCGGCAACAGGGGUUCGAAUCCCCUAGGGGUUGCCA
rnacentral:tRNA from 1 species